rnacentral:rRNA from 1 species
GAUGAACGCUGGCGGCGUGCUUAACACAUGCAAGUCGAACGAUGAAGCUCAGCUUGCUGGGUGGAUUAGUGGCGAACGGGUGAGUAACACGUGAGUAACCUGCCCUUAACUCUGGGAUAAGCCUGGGAAACUAGGUCUAAUACCGGAUAGGAGCGCCUACCGCAUGGUGGGUGUUGGAAAGAUUUAUCGGUUUUGGAUGGACUCGCGGCCUAUCAGCUUGUUGGUGAGGUAAUGGCUCACCAAGGCGACGACGGGUAGCCGGCCUGAGAGGGUGACCGGCCACACUGGGACUGAGACACGGCCCAGACUCCUACGGGAGGCAGCAGUGGAGAAUAUUGCACAAUGGGCGAAAGCCUGAUGCAGCGACGCCGCGUGAGGGAUGACGGCCUUCGGGUUGUAAACCUCUUUCAGUAGGGAAGAAGCGAAAGUGACGGUACCUGCAGAAGAAGCACCGGCUAACUACGUG